GAGCCCAACAAGUCGUGUGAGGCAGGCCCUUGUUUAGAAGCGAGUUCAAAACAAUCUCCAUCCUCUCCGCCGCCCUUUCCCUUGUGUGCGUGUGUGUGUGUAUUUUUUUCUGAAGGAAUGAUGGAGAAGGGGAGAGAGUCAGACAAGUUUAAUGAUGUGUGUUCAAAGCUCAGAUUGGAAAAAUGACAGAGAAAAGCAGCCUGUUUCGGCUCUAAUAAAUUGUUCUUCGCCGUAAGAGGCGCCUGUCGCGGCAUUAAUACAGGCCCCUAAUACACGGGUCAGGGUUAAGUAAUUUUCUCCGGCAACUUAAGCGAAUAAUGAAGCUGGCGGCGCGGCGGGAGAGAGGGCCCGGCACCGGCGGCACUUUGUCUUCAUUUAUUAUGCCAGCGCUCAUGAUGCCGGCACCGGCCGCACCGGCGGCGGGAAGCCCUCCGCCGAGGAGAUAUCGCUUCAUUUCGGAGAGAACAAUUACCCCUGAGUAUGUGUCCUGGAUUUGAAGAUACUGAAUAUAGCGGCAUCAGGGGAUUCCCAAACAAGAGGGAGCUAAAGACUAGGACUUAACUCUCAAUUUUGAGUUUCCUUCCUCCAACAAAGGCUUCUCUGACCCCGGCGAAGGCAGUGUUGGUCCAUCUGCAACAGGGCAAGGGUUAGCCUGGACUUUUGACAAGAGGGCUGUUUGGAAUAACCCACACAGUGGGAUUUCUCUCUAAUUGGCUGCCUGGAGAAGGGACUGAACAAAACCAAGACUGAAGCCAGAGCCAAGCCAAAGCACGAGAUGGUGACAGCUUGGAAAAUCUCAGCAGAGUUGAGCCUUCCAGCUCCCCAACUACCCAAGUGCCUGCUGCCUAUGGUGGAGCAGGUUUCUGAGUCCAAUAAAGCGGAUAAAGAAGAACUGAACUACUCGAGGGGCUAUCAAUGACACAUAUACCCAGGAUUUAAUGACACAGUGUGCUUCCAUCCUCGCACCCUGUUGCACAAAGCCUUGGCGCUUGUCAUGGGAAAUAUGUCUGGCUGUAUUUCUCAUCAGAGGCUCCCAGCAUCUAGCUGGGCAUGUCACAAAAGAAUGAGAGACAAUUUAGAAAAGAAUCAGUUAAAAUCUGUAGGUAUCAGACAUUUCAACAGUCUUUAAGUUCAGGGGAAAAAAAAAGAGAAACCAGGUGGUCUAUGAAUGCAUUUUUUGGUGAAAAUUCAGAUAAUGCCCCCAGGAUGCUGGGUCAACCUUUCAAUGCAGAAGAAGCCAAGAAUAAAAGGAAAUAAACAUAGCAUGUAUUUUGAAAACAUAAUGCAAGAUGUGUUCUGCUCUAAGGUGUGCUUUGGAGACCCAUUUAGCAGGGCAUGCCCUGCCAUGAAUUCUGAAUGUGGAGAUAGUCAUCCAGCUGCUUCCUUCAUCACAUACCUUAGACCAGGGGUCCCCAAACUAAGGCCCGGAGGCCGGAUGCGGCCCUCCAAGGUCAUUUACCUGGCCCCUGCCCUCAUUUAUAAUAUAAUAUUUUUAUAUCAGUUUUAAUAAUAUAAUAUAUUGUAUAUACAUAUGAUAUUAGUGCUUUGAAAGAGCUCUGAAGUAAAAACAGCUCAAAGAGUGUUCCUUGAGUCAGCAGCCUUGAGUAGUAGAUUAGUAGAAGGCUCUCUGCUUCCUAGUAUGUACUCCAGGGUAGCAGUCAGCAAACAAAAGGAGACCAGAUAAGAAAAAAAAGGGAAAAAAAUAUAAAAAUUCUUUGGAAUCCUGGAGCACUGCAAGCCUUCCAGCCAGCCGGGAAGAAAACAGUUUGAGGCAAGCCGAGAUUCAGCAAUGUGAUCCUCUUCUUACCUUCCCUCCUUCAGGGAGGCUUAGGCUUAGGUGUUUUCCAAACAGUUGCCAAUAAAAUCUUUAAAACUGCAUUAGCUUCAUAUAAACAGUCUUUAGUAAAAGUAAGGAGUUCAAGGGCAAUAGUCUUCAAUUAAAAUUGAGAGUUUAAGAUAAUAUAAAAGCAAUAAGAUAACAGCUUCAGAACUUGCCCUUGAGCUCGGCUGACGCUGCUCCUCCCGUUGCUCCACCGGAAGUACUACAUAUGAUAUUGAUAAUAAUAUGAUUUUGUACAAUAUAAUACUAAUAAUAAUACCAUAUAAUAAUAUUAAUUAUAUGUUAUAUAUUACAUAUAAUAUUACAGUAUAGUGAUAUAGUUCAAUAUAGUAACAUAUAAUGCUAAUAUUGUGCUCACCCUUCGGGAUGAGAAGGGUGGGAUAUAAAUGUAGUAAAUAAAUGCAGUAAAUUAAUAAAUAAAUAAAUAAUUUUGGACUUAGGCUCACCCAAAGUCUGAAAUGACUUGAAGACACACAACAACAACAAUCCUAAUUAAUCUGACUAUCUCAUUGGUCAGAAGCAGGCCCACACUUCCUAUUGAAAUCCUGAUAGAUUUAUGUUGGUUAAAAUUAUUUUCAUUUUUAAAUAUUGUAUUGUUCUUUCAUUGUUAUUGUUGCUUUGCACUACAAAUAAGAUAUGUGCAGUGUGCAUAGGAAUUUGUUCAUCCCCCCCCCCCCCAAAUGAUAAUUCGGCCCCUCAACAGUCGGAAGGAUUGUGGACCAGCCCUCUGCUUUAAAAGUUUGAGGACCCCUGCCUUAGACAGACAGCCUAGGCUGAAUAUUCAUUGUGUGCUCAUUAUCUUGCAUCUUACCAAGCUAAAAGGGUUAGAGGUAUUCGCCCUUCAAGAGCAAACUAAAGGAUUUGAGAUCACAAAAUGACACUAAGCAACAAAAUAUGAAACUGGCCUUGAAAACUGGGUGGACUCUUUAAAAUAAUGGUGUUAACUAACUUCAGAUACUGUUUGGUAAAUGUCUAGAAAAUCCUGUAGGAGUCUGAGGAUGCCAAUUUGUCAAUAAACGUCUGUUUGGCAGUUCAGAAAUCACAGCCUGAGAUUUUUACAAUUUAAAAGUCAUCUGCAUUCUUGGCUUGAAAUCUUAGUGGAAACAUACUCAGCAAUUCCCUAGUGGACUAAGAUAAUAAAUAAGUGUCAAAAAAGGAAGAUCCACCACAAAUUUAUUCCCUAUGCAGUAACACUAUUCAGAUUCAGGAUGACUGUCAUCAGAAACCAAGAUCUAAUUGCAGCAUACCACUUUUCCUCCCCACCCCAUAAGGUCUUAGUAUAAACCUUUUUUUCCCUUAGAACUGUAUAUGAACUGUUGCAGAUACUGAUUAAAAUGAGGCACUGUGAAGUAAA